UAAGGAAUAUUGCUCAAUGGGAGAAAUCCUGAAGCAGCAACGCCGCGUGGAGGAUGAAGGGUCUAUGACUUGUAAACUCCUGUAAAGAAGGAAAAAAUUCCCAUUAGAUGGGAGAUGAUGGUACUUCUGGAGUAAGCCCCGGCUAACUACGUGCCAGCAGCUGCGGUAAUACGUAGGGGGCAAGCGUUGUCCGGAUUUACUGGGUGUAAAGGGUGCUCAGGCGGAUUUGUAAGUCAGAGGUGAAAUCUUACAGCUUAACUGUGAAACUGCCUUUGAUACUGCAAGCCUAGAGUAUGGAAGAGAGUGAUGGAAUAUCUGGUGUAGCAGUGAAAUGCGUAGAUAUCGGAUAGAACACCAAUGGCGAAGGCAGUCACUUGGUCCAUUACUGACGCUAAAGCACGAAAGCGUGGGUAGCAAACA
rnacentral:rRNA from 1 species